GAGCGGACAGAUGGGAGCUUGCUCCCUGAUGUUAGCGGCGGACGGGUGAGUAACACGUGGGUAACCUGCCUGUAAGACUGGGAUAACUCCGGGAAACCGGGGCUAAUACCGGAUGGUUGUCUGAACCGCAUGGUUCAGACAUAAAAGGUGGCUUCGGCUACCACUUACAGAUGGACCCGCGGCGCAUUAGCUAGUUGGUGAGGUAACGGCUCACCAAGGCGACGAUGCGUAGCCGACCUGAGAGGGUGAUCGGCCACACUGGGACUGAGACACGGCCCAGACUCCUACGGGAGGCAGCAGUAGGGAAUCUUCCGCAAUGGACGAAAGUCUGACGGAGCAACGCCGCGUGAGUGAUGAAGGUUUUCGGAUCGUAAAGCUCUGUUGUUAGGGAAGAACAAGUGCCGUUCAAAUAGGGCGGCACCUUGACGGUACCUAACCAGAAAGCCACGGCUAACUACGUGCCAGCAGCCGCGGUAAUACGUAGGUGGCAAGCGUUGUCCGGAAUUAUUGGGCGUAAAGGGCUCGCAGGCGGUUUCUUAAGUCUGAUGUGAAAGCCCCCGGCUCAACCGGGGAGGGUCAUUGGAAACUGGGGAACUUGAGUGCAGAAGAGGAGAGUGGAAUUCCACGUGUAGCGGUGAAAUGCGUAGAGAUGUGGAGGAACACCAGUGGCGAAGGCGACUCUCUGGUCUGUAACUGACGCUGAGGAGCGAAAGCGUGGGGAGCGAACAGGAUUAGAUACCCUGGUAGUCCACGCCGUAAACGAUGAGUGCUAAGUGUUAGGGGGUUUCCGCCCCUUAGUGCUGCAGCUAACGCAUUAAGCACUCCGCCUGGGGAGUACGGUCGCAAGACUGAAACUCAAAGGAAUUGAC
rnacentral:rRNA from 1 species